rnacentral:rRNA from 1 species
GAAGUUUUCAGAGAUGAGAAUGUGCCUUCGGGAACCGUGAGACAGGUGCUGCAUGGCUGUCGUCAGCUCGUGUUGUGAAAUGUUGGGUUAAGUCCCGCAACGAGCGCAACCCUUAUCCUUUGUUGCCAGCGGUCCGGCCGGGAACUCAAAGGAGACUGCCAGUGAUAAACUGGAGGAAGGUGGGGAUGACGUCAAGUCAUCAUGGCCCUUACGACCAGGGCUACACACGUGCUACAAUGGCGCAUACAAAGAGAAGCGACCUCGCGAGAGCAAGCGGACCUCAUAAAGUGCGUCGUAGUCCGGAUUGGAGUCUGCAACUCGACUCCAUGAAGUCGGAAUCGCUAGUAAUCGUGGAUCAGAAUGCCACGGUGAAUACGUUCCCGGGCCUUGUACACACCGCCCGUCACACCAUGGGAGUGGGUUGCAAAAGAAGUAGGUAGCUUAACCUUCGGGAGGGCGCUUACCACUUUGUGAUUCAUGACUGGGGUGAAGUCGUAACAAGGUAACCGUAGGGGAACCUGCGGUUGGAUCACCUCCUUACCUUAAAGAAG